ACGCACGCUGGCGGCGUGCUUCACACAUGCAAGUCGAACGGAAAGGCCUGCUUUCCCUUGUGGAUUGCGGGUACUCGAGUGGCGAACGGGUGAGUAACACGUGAGUGAUCUGCCCCCAACUUGGGUAUAAGCCUGGGAAACUGGGUCUAAUUCCCGAUAGGACUGCAGGGUGGUGCCUGUGGUGGAAAACGAUUUUCUAGUGGUUGGGGAUGAGCUCGCGGCCUAUCAGCUUGUUGGUGGGGUAAUGGCCUACCAAGGCGGCGACGGGUAGCCGGCCUGAGAGGGUGGACGGCCACAUUGGGACUGAGAUACGGCCCAGACUCCUACGGGAGGCAGCAGUGGGGAAUAUUGCACAAUGGGCGGAAGCCUGAUGCAGCGACGCCGCGUGGGGGAUGACGGCCUUCGGGUUGUAAACUCCUUUCGACCGCGAGGAAGCCACCUGGUUGGAAGGGUGGUGACGGUAGUGGUAGAAGAAGCACCGGCUAACUACGUG
rnacentral:rRNA from 1 species